AACGAACGCUGGCGGCAGGCUUAACACAUGCAAGUCGAGCGCCCCGCAAGGGGAGCGGCAGACGGGUGAGUAACGCGUGGGAAUCUACCCAUCUCUACGGAAUAACGCAUGGAAACGUGUGCUAAUACCGUAUACGUCCUUCGGGAGAAAGAUUUAUCGGGGAUGGAUGAGCCCGCGUUGGAUUAGCUAGUUGGUGGGGUAAAGGCCUACCAAGGCGACGAUCCAUAGCUGGUCUGAGAGGAUGAUCAGCCACACUGGGACUGGGACACGGCCCGGACUCCUACGGGAGGCAGCAGUGGGGGAUAUUGGACAAUGGGCGCAAGCCUGAUCCAGCCAUGCCGCGUGAGUGAUGAAGGCCCAAGGGUUGUAAAGCUCUUUCACCGGUGAAGAUAAUGACGGUAACCGGAGAAGAAGCCCCGGCUAACUUCGUGCCAGCAGCCGCGGUAACAC
rnacentral:rRNA from 1 species